AGUGAACGCUGGCGGCGUGUCUAAUACAUGCAAGUCGAACGGAGUGGCGCACGGGUGCGUAAUGUAUAGCUAAUCUUCCCUACACUAGAGGACAACAGUUGGAAACGGCUGCUAAUACUCUCUAGUAUAGGAGGUGGCUUUAUUGUCUCAUCUAGUUGGUGAGGUAAUGGCUCACCAAGGCUAUGACGCAUAACUGGUCUGCGAGGAUGAUCAGUCACACUGGAACGGGGACACGGUCCAGACUCCUACGGAAGGCAGCAGUAGGGAAUAUUGCUCAGUGGGGGAAACCCUGAAGCAGCAACGCCGCGUGGAGGAUGACACUUAUCGGAGCGUAAACUCCUUUUGUUAGGGAAGCGGUACCUAACGAAUAAGCACCGGCUAACUCCGUGCCAGCAGCCGCGGUAAUUC
rnacentral:rRNA from 1 species